rnacentral:rRNA from 1 species
UACGUAGGGGGCUAGCGUUGUCCGGAUUUAUUGGGCGUAAAGAGCGUGCAGGCGGCCAGGUAGGUCUGCUGUGAAAACUCGAGGCUCAACCUCGAGACGUCGGCGGAAACCAUCUGGCUAGAGUCCGGAAGAGGAGAGUGGAAUUCCUGAUGUAGCGGUGAAAUGCGCAGAUAUCAGGAAGAACACCCGUGGCGAAGGCGGCUCUCUGGGACGGUACUGACGCUGAGACGCGAAAGCGUGGGUAGCGAACAGG